GGAUGUGAGGGUGAUCUGGCUGUAACAUCUGUCACCCCACUCGGCUGAUCUGGCUGGCUAGGCCGGGGUCCCCUUCCUCCAUCACCGCUCCACGUUCAUCCCUCCCGAAGCUGCACGCUCGGUCAAAGAGGACGGCCUUCCCGGAAUAGAGACAGACUGGUCUUCGGCCAAGGGUACACGAGUAGCUGUGCUCCCCUGCUAGAACCUUUAAACAAGCUCUCAAGGUCCAUUUGUAGGAGAACGUAGGGUAGUCAAGCUUCCAAGACUCCAGACACAUCCAAAUGAGGUGCUGCAUGCGGCAGUCUGUCUUUCUUU
rnacentral:snRNA from 1 species